AAUACAGCGCUUUCACUGAGGCGGAGAGGGUAAUUACGAGGGUUAGGAUGAAGAUUGUGAAGAGGAGGAGGAGGAGGAAUCGGGGAUCUGGCAGGGUUGAGAGCGCAUGACGAAGGCGUCCUGCUUCCUGUCGCUGCGUGAUGACGUCAGCCGGCUCUCUGUAUUGUUUUGACUCGGAAUAUUUUUCCUCUCUAAAAUUCCUAAAAAAACGCACGAAAAACACAUUAAAGACGCAAUUUUAUACUCGGUUCCAGCUUAAGAUCAAAAUACAGGUCAGAGGUCAUGGAGGAGCAGAGCGGGUCACCGGGGGGCAACACAGACAACAGCAGCCAGCGUAACGGAGAGGAGAAACCUCGCAGGAGCAGCUGGACCAAAGGCAGGAGGAGGAAGAAGCCACUGAAGGACAGUAACGCCCCCAAAGCGCCGUUAACAGGAUACGUGCGCUUCAUGAACGAGCGCCGCGAGCAGCUGAGGGCGGAAAGACCCGACGUGCCUUUCCCAGAGAUCACCAGGAUGCUCGGGAACGAGUGGAGCAAACUGCCUCCCGAAGAGAAACAGCGGUAUCUGGAUGAGGCGGACAAAGAUAAGGAGCGCUACAUGAGAGAACUGGAGCAGUAUCAGAAGACUGAAGCCUAUAAACACUUCAGCAGGAAGGUGCAGGAGAAACAAAAAGGAAAGAGACACAGAGGAGAUGCUGGAAGGCAGGCGCCCGGAGAAUCGCUUCAUGAGAAGGAUCUCGAGAUAAAGGAUCGCUCCGUAUUUGAUAUUCCCAUCUUCACUGAAGAGUUUCUGAAUCACAGUAAAGCGCGUGAAGCUGAACUGCGGCAGCUGAGAAAGACCAAUAUGGAGUACGAAGAGCGUAACGCGGCGCUGCAGAAGCAUGUGGAGAGCAUGCGCUCCGCCGUCGAGCGUCUGGAAGGAGACGUGCAGCAGGAACGCACGCGAAACGGCCUCCUGCAGCAGCACCUAGACACCCUGCGCUCGGCCCUCACACACAGCUUCUCUACCGUCCCCCUGCCCGAAGCCUCUUCUGCUCACCAGGCCUACAUUUAUUUGAUCCAGAGUACAGCAAAAACAGCAGCGGUGAGACGCCCACACUCGAUUCCAUCGACUCCUACAUGAAAAAGCUUCACGGCAUCAUUCUGUCCAACCCACAGGAAAACCAGCACCUGAUCAGCACCGUCAGGGAUGUGGUCAACCGCCUCGACAGGUAAUUGAGAGGCCCCGCCCCUUGUGCAGCAGCCCCUCCUCCUAUCCUGCUAUGGACCAUAUUUUGUGUCAAGCAAUUCAAUUGUUUCCUAUUAUUUAUUUUUUUACAAUGCCGUUUUAUCUGCUUAUUUUUAUUUUUUUUUUAUUUAGCAGUUCACAUUUGCCACGCAUUAAAAAAAAACAUUAUUUUAGCAACGGUUUAGAUGUGGUUUCAUCUGUUUUGAUUUUAAGCUCAAUUUUAUACUUCAUGUUACGUAAGAAAUUAAAUGUUGUAAUCGUGUGAAGAGAGGAAGGUUUAUCGGUAGCUUGUGUCUUUGUGCCGGAGUUUCUGAAUUCCCUGUAUGUUCUUGACAUUUGAAGAAUUCAAUAAAGCAAAUGUAUGAAGACAUUGA